rnacentral:pre_miRNA from 14 species
GGCGGCUGUGGUGCAUUGUAGUUGCAUUGCACGUUCUGGCCGCAGAGGGG